GUACUACUCCCUCUGUUCUGAAUUAGUUGACUUGAAUUUGUCUAGAAUCUAGAUACAGAUGUAUCUAUACUUGGUUUAUGUCUAGAUACAUUCAUGUCUAGAUAAAUAUGGGUCAAGUAAUUUGGAACGGAAGGAGUACGUG
rnacentral:pre_miRNA from 1 species